rnacentral:rRNA from 1 species
UACGUAGGGUGCAAGCGUUGUCCGGAAUUAUUGGGCGUAAAGAGCUCGUAGGUGGCCUGUCGCGUCGGCUGUGAAAACUCGGGGGCUCAACUCCGAGCUUGCAGUCGAUACGGGCAGGCUAGAGUUCGGCAGGGGAGACUGGAAUUCCUGGUGUAGCGGUGAAAUGCGCAGAUAUCAGGAGGAACACCGGUGGCGAAGGGCGGGGUCUCUGGGGCCGAUACUGACACUGAGGAGCGAAAAGCGUGGGGGAGCGAACAGG